UUUAAAUCCAGUUAUUUAUCUUUUUGUUGUUGUAAAGUGAUUUUUUUUAAUGAGGAAAAUUACAUUUUACUACUUAUAAAUUCAGAGGUUUUCUUUCAUCUCUUUUCACCUUGCUCUCAAUCUUGAACCCUUUAUGCAGAAUCUGACCCCUUCCCACCACUUCACUGCUAUAGUCCAAACUACUAUAUUUCUCUCCUAAUCUUCUGUUUCCAUCCUAGCCCCUCCUCUCAACAGUCUAUUGUCAACCUCUUUUCCAGGGUUAAAUCAAGUCAAUCCUUUGGUGGAAAUUCUUCAGAUGGCUCCUAACUUGAGCAGAGUAAGAACUAAAUUCCUUUCCUUGACCUGCAAAACUCCACUCCUCCUGCACUCCACAACUUCUGAACUCUCAAGACUCAUGACCUACCACUCUCCAUCAUUCUUACCAGCCUCCUUCUCUCACUGGUCCUUGAACAUAUCAGGAAUUCUACCUCAGGGCCUUUGCAUUUGCCAUUUCCUCUGCCUGGAUUGCUCUUACUCCCAAUAUCCACAUGGCUCACUCCCUCACAUUUUGCAGGUCUUGACUUAAAUGUCACCUUCGUGCUAAGGCUUUCCCCUUACAUACUAUUGAAAACUGCAAAGCAGCCCCAAACCCACUCCACUGAUACAAGCACACUGUGCAUGAUUCCUAGUUGAGCAUACCACAUGGUUUCCUCAUUUGUCUGUUUUGCCACUAAACUAUAACUUCCUGAGAAGAUGGAACUGUAUGUUUAUUCACUGCCAUAUUCCUAGUACCUAAGAUAGUACCUGGCACACAGUGGGCACCUUAAUAAUUUUUGUUGAAUGAAUGAGUGAAUUUUGAAGGCAAAGUGGAUUGAGUAAGAGGAAUGUAACUAUCAUGUGCAUCCCCUGCCUGUCUUGAGCCUCACUUGCUCCUUUGUCUUUCCACCACCACCAGGACCGAGACAACUAUUAUAGACUCCCACUGAACUGCAAAUUUUAUAACAAGAUGUUGACUGCCUCCUGUGUUCAAGAGUUCCACUUGUCUCCUUCAGUGCUGAAGGUGGACCCUUGCAUAUACCACUCAAAUAUUUGUUGAUUAAUUGAUUUUAAAAAAUAGAGGAUGGAAAUAGUUUCCAUUGGAGAAACCUGGCUGAUACCAUCCUACCCAAGUGGUCAAGGUUAACAUCACCAGUUAUGUCGUGCUGAUAUCAGGAAUAGAAAAAAAAAACAGUGGGACCAAUUCUGGCAGAAAUGACGGUUCAACAGACAUUCAUGGAGAGCCUACUAUGUGCCAGAAUUAUCCUGUGCAUCAUGGAAAAGUAUGGAGUAAUGGUUAAGAACAUGGACUCUUUAGACAGACUGCAGGGAUUGGAGUAACACCAUGUGUGACCUUGGACAAGAUUUCUUGGUUUCCAUAGCUAAAAAGUGGACAUAAAAUAGUGCCUAAUUCAUAGGGUUGUUAUUGUUAGGGGCAGAGAUGUUGAUCAUGCUCUGUUCACCGUGAUUGUUAGCUAUAGUUAUAAGAAAUAUUAAUCAUGUUCUGUCAACUGUGAUUGUUCUGUCCUAAUUAGAAAAAGCACUUUCUAACAUCGCUGGGAGUUGUGUGCCCAGGGACAAGGGAAUUACCCUUGGAAUGUCGCCCAUUCUCCUUUUCCGAGAACUGCUUUUCAUCAUGGAAAGAUUAACAACCUUGUUCCUGAAACCAUGGAAUCCCGGAGGCACCCACCCUUUGCAAUCCCCAGCCCCCAUUGCCUACUUCCCCAUGCCUGUAAUUCUUAGUUUCACGUGUAAUCUUUGUCCUUACACCUGAGAUAAGCAGCUGGCUUAGGGGGGGUGGCAGAGCAGAUUUUUGUGGAUGACCUUUACUUCUCUCCCAUAUUGCCAGCAAUAUUGGAAUAAACACUCAUAUGGGAUUCAA